GAUGAACGCUGGCGGCGUGCCUAAUACAUGCAAGUCGAGCGAACGGACGAGAAGCUUGCUUCUCUGAUGUUAGCGGCGGACGGGUGAGUAACACGUGGAUAACCUACUUAUAAGACUGGGAUAACUUCGGGAAACCGGAGCUAAUACCGGAUAAUAUUUUGAACCGCAUGGUUCAAAAGUGAAAGACGGUCUUGCUGUCACUUAUAGAUGGAUACGCGCUGCAUUCGCUAGUUGGUAAGGUAACGGCUUACCAAGGCAACGAUGCAUAGCCGACCUGAGAGGGUGAUCGGCCACACUGGAACUGAGACACGGUCCAGACUCCUACGGGAGGCAGCAGUAGGGAAUCUUCCGCAAUGGGCGAAAGCCUGACGGAGCAACGCCGCGUGAGUGAUGAAGGUCUUCGGAUCGUAAAACUCUGUUAUUAGGGAAGAACAUAUGUGUAAGUAACUGUGCACAUCUUGACGGUACCUAAUCAGAAAGCCACGGCUAACUACGUG
rnacentral:rRNA from 1 species